AGAAAUCGUUAAGGGCGUAUGGCGGAUGCCUAGGCUUUCAGAGGCGACGAAGGACGUGGUAAGCUGCGAAAAGCUGCGGGGAUUGGCACACACGAAUUGAUCCGCAGAUGUCCGAAUGGGGCAACCCGGCAUGUUGAAGACAUGUCACCUCGUAAGAGGAGCAAACCCGGAGAACUGAAACAUCUAAGUACCCGGAGGAAAAGAAAUCGAAGAGAUUCCGUAAGUAGUGGCGAGCGAAAGCGGAUUAGCCCAAAAGUCAAUAUAUGUUUAGAGGAAUGUUUUGGAAAGAACAAUCACAGAAGGUGACAAUCCUGUACUCGAAAGGCAUAUUUUGAUGAUAAAUGAGUAGGGCGGGACACGUGAAAUCCUGUCUGAAUAUGGGGGGACCAUCCUCCAAGGCUAAAUACUCCUGAAAGACCGAUAGUGAACAAGUACUGUGAAGGAAAGGUGAAAAGCACUUCGAAUAGAAGGGUGAAAUAGAACCUGAAACCGUACGCCUACAAGCGGUCGGAGCAGCAUAAAGCUGUGACGGCGUGCCUUUUGCAUAAUGAGCCUACGAGUUAAUUUUACUAGCGAGGUUAAGGUAUUAAGUACCGGAGCCGGAGCGAAAGCGAGUCUGAAUAGGGCGUAUAGUUAGUAGGAUUAGACGCGAAACCUUGUGAUCUACCCAUGGGCAGGUUGAAGCUCUGGUAACACAGAGUGGAGGACCGAACCGGUUGACGUUGAAAAGUCUUCGGAUGACCUGUGGGUAGGGGUGAAAGGCCAAUCAAACUGGGAGAUAGCUCGUACUCUCCGAAAUGCAUUUAGGUGCAGCGUCGUAUAUAAGUUUAUUAGAGGUAGAGCGACUGAUUGGAUGCGGGGGAGUCAAAUCCUACCAAUUCCUGACAAACUCCGAAUGCUAAUAAAUGUUCUACGGCAGUGAGGGCAUGGGUGCUAAGGUCCAUGUCCGAGAGGGAAAGAACCCAGACCAACAGCUAAGGUCCCAAAAUAUAUGUUAAGUUGAAGCAACGCGGUUGGACUGCAUUGACAGCUAGGAUGUUGGCUUGGAAGCAGCCAUUCAUUUAAAGAGUGCGUAACAGCUCACUAGUCGAGCGGUCCGGCAUGGAUAAUAAUCGGGCAUAAACAUAUUACCGAAGCUAUGGAUUUGUAUUUU
rnacentral:rRNA from 1 species